rnacentral:rRNA from 1 species
UACAGAGGGAGCAAGCGUUGUUCGGAAUUACUGGGCGUAAAGGGCGCGUAGGCGGUUCGAUAAGUCCCGUGUGAAAUCCCUCGGCUCAACUGAGGAAUGGCACGGGAAACUGACGGGCUUGAGUUCGGGAGAGGGAAGCGGAAUUCCGGGUGUAGCGGUGAAAUGCGUAGAUAUCCGGAGGAACACCGGUGGCGAAGGCGGCUUCCUGGACCGAUACUGACGCUGAGGCACGAAAGCGUGGGGAGCAAACAGG